UACUUAGAGGAGCACUCAAAGGCAGCUGC
rnacentral:piRNA from 1 species